rnacentral:rRNA from 1 species
UACAGAGGUCCCAAGCGUUGUUCGGAUUCAUUGGGCGUAAAGGGUGCGUAGGUGGCGCCGUAAGUGGGGUGUGAAAUCCCGGGGCUUAACCCCGGGACUGCAUUCCAUACUGCGGUGCUUGAGGACUGGAGAGGAGACUGGAAUUUACGGUGUAGCAGUGAAAUGCGUAGAGAUCGUAAGGAAGACCAGUGGCGAAGGCGGGUCUCGUGGACAGUUCCUGACACUGAGGCACGAAGGCCAGGGGAGCAAACGGG